rnacentral:rRNA from 1 species
GAGACGCUGGCGGCGUGCCUAACACAUGCAAGUUCGAGCGGGGUUGAAGCGAGGGGUAACUCGAGUUUCUACCUAGCGGCGGACGGGUGAGUAACGCGUGGGCAACCUGCCUCAAGGACUGGGAUAACAGCUCGAAAGGGCUGCUAAUACCGGAUAAGCCUAUGGCCUGCAUGGGGCCAUGAGCAAGGGAAACCCGCCUUGAGAUGGCCCGCGUCCCAUCAGCUAGUUGGUGAGGUGAAGGCUCACCAAGGCGACGACGGGUAGCCGGCCUGAGAGGGUGACCGGCCACACUGGGACUGAGACACGGCCCAGACUCCUACGGGGGGCAGCAGUGGGGAAUCUUGCACAAUGGGCGAAAGCCUGAUGCAGCGACGCCGCGUGAGCGAAGAAGGCCUUCGGGUUGUAAAGCUCUGUCUGGAGGGACGAAGGAAGUGACGGUACCUCCGGAGGAAGCCACGGCUAACUACGUG